AGAGUUUGAUCCUGGCUCAGAUUGAACGCUGGCGGCAUGCCUAACACAUGCAAGUCGAACGGCAGCACAGCAGUAGCAAUACUGUGGGUGGCGAGUGGCGGACGGGUGAGUAAUGCAUCGGGAUCUACCCUGACGUGGGGGAUAACCUCGGGAAACCGGGACUAAUACCGCAUACGUCCUACGGGAGAAAGCGGGGGACCUUCGGGCCUCGCGCGGCAGGACGAACCGAUGUGCGAUUAGCUAGUUGGCGGGGUAAUGGCCCACCAAGGCGACGAUCGCUAGCUGGUCUGAGAGGAUGAUCAGCCACACUGGGACUGAGACACGGCCCAGACUCCUACGGGAGGCAGCAGUGGGGAAUAUUGGACAAUGGGCGCAAGCCUGAUCCAGCAAUGCCGCGUGUGUGAAGAAGGCC
rnacentral:rRNA from 1 species